CUUAAACCUGCUGGAGACUUGAUCUUGGACUUCCCAGCCCCCAGAACUGCUCUGACUACGUGUGAGGUUCAGAGGCAGCUCCAUGGAAGAAGGGAUUAACUCUAAGAAUCUCACACGUCUGUGAACCCCCACGUUCAGCAUGAAGUGAGGAGCCCAUCGGAUGACGGGCCGGCUGGCUGGUUGAAGGCCACUGCUGACUUCGCAUUGGAGGCUGGAGAGAGGGCCAGAGCUUGGGGAGUGAUUACAAACUCAGAUCAGCUGGGACCAGGGCCCCGGAAGAAGGAAGAUAGCAUGUGAAUAAUUAGGGUCUGAAAGUUCGUGCAUGUAGUUCUACAAGAGAAGAAGAACUAAGAAGAUGGUCAUGGUCCCAACCACCAAGAACCUCCUUUGGUUACACAUGGGAGACACCAGGAGGGAGCAGAAUGACCUAAAGAUUUAGAUUCAGAUUCAAGUCUGAUCUUACCUGAGAGAGCUGGCAGAGAUUCACGGACAUCGCUAAUAUCUGCUGAGCUAUCCAGACACUGGGUGCUCAGAAACGUCAAAUGUUUCUGCUCAAACAUGAAUAAUUUCUAGGUGGCUGCACACCCAUCUCAGGAGUGACUCGUGAGGGAGAUUUUAGCAUCACAAAGGAAAGUGGCACUGUGAGCCUGGGAUCUGUGGCCCUCCCUCCACCUCCGGUGUGGAUGGAGUGGUGCUGUGAUGUGCCUGGUACAGGGCAUUUGCAUAAGUAGCCUGCCCUGCGUCACUCAUCAUGCCAGACUCUGAGAAUCAACUGUAGACAACACAAGGUCCUUGCCUUUCAAGAGCUUAAUAUGUAGUUGGGGGAUCAGGCAUGGAAAUCGGCAAGAACAAACCAGGCAAUGCCGGGGGUCUGCGGGAACAAAGAGGAGCCUCCGACAUAUUUCCUAGGUGGUGGCUGUCAAGGAUGCCUUCUUAAAGGAGAGAGAGUCUAAGCUGAGUCUGAAGGAAUCUCCACAUGCAGACCUGAGGGAAGGGCAAUCAGAAAGGGAGAGCAACAUGCAGAGACUUGGAGACAAGAAGUAGCAAGGAAGAGAAAGGAACCGCAGGGCUGGAACAAGAGGCCAAGGGGUGAGGUGGUGUCCGUUGAGGCUUGGGAGAUGGUAGGGUUACACGUUUGAGAGUUUUGCAAGCCAGUCUUUUCCUCUAACAGAAGGCCAUAGGAAGUCACAGAAAGGUCUAGACCUGGGCAGGAUGCUCUCCCCAGCUGUGAUAGAGGCCAGGUUAGCGAGAUCCAACAAAGAUUUUAUGGCCUCUUAGGAGGCUCUGCAGAGAUGCUUGACUUCAGGUAAUGAGAGGUGGGAAAAAGAGAAGGACAGAGAAGAAAUAGUGUGAGAAGGAAUAGUAGAGAGGAACAGAAGGAAGGUAUCAGAGAAAUGAACAGAUUGCUUCCUAUCUCACAAAAAUAUCAGUGAGACAUUCUAGGGACCUUUGACCAUUGAUAGGUCAAGAGGAAGGAGGGGUCAUGGUUGAUACUCAGGCUUUCUUUCCAUCCUCCCACCGUGAGAGAAGAAGGCAAGGACUAAUAAACCAGGCUCUGAAUUGAUGUCCCUGCCUCUAUUCUGCUUCCCAGUGUCUACUGUGCAC
rnacentral:lncRNA from 1 species